rnacentral:snoRNA from 1 species
CGCUGGCUACGCUGAUGAAUUCAUAGUUCAGCUUAAAAGCAUUUGCUGAAUAAUAUCUUUCGCUCCUAUCUGAAGCCAAAG